UUAAUUUAUUUAUAUGAUAGGUGUUGUUGAGUACAAAUUAUUCGUGGGCUCUUUGAACAAACAGGCUACCGUAAAGGAAGUUGAGGAAAUUUUCUCAAAAUAUGGCCGGGUUGAAGAUGUUUAUCUUAUGCGCGAUGAGAAGAAACAAAGUCGUGGGUGUGGUUUUGUUAAAUACUCACAAAGAUAUGGCUCUGGCAGCAAUUAAUGCGCUU